rnacentral:rRNA from 1 species
GAUGAACGCUGGCGGCGUGCUUAACACAUGCAAGUCGAACGGGAUCCAAGGGGUGCUUGCACUUUUUGGUGAGAGUGGCGAACGGGUGAGUAACACGUGAGUAACCUGUCCUUUUCUUUGGGAUAAGCAUUCGAAAGGGUGUUUAAUACCUUAUGUUCUGUCUGCCUCGCAUGGGGUGGGUGGGAAAGGCUUUGGCCGGAUUUGGGUGGGCUCGCGGUCUAUCAGCUUGUUGGUGGGGUGAUGGCUUACCAAGGCUUUGACGGGUAGCCGGCCUGAGAGGGUGGUCGGUCACAUUGGGACUGAGAUACGGCCCAGACUCCUGCGGGAGGCAGCAGUGGGGGAUAUUGCACAAUGGGCGAAAGCCUGAUGCAGCGACGCCGCGUGGGGGAUGAAGGCCUUCGGGUUGUAAACUUCUUUUGCUCUGAAUAAGGCAUGCCAGUGGGUGUGUUGAGUGUAGGGGUUGAUUAGCGCCGGCUAACUACGUG